rnacentral:tRNA from 1 species
GGGGACGUAGCUCAGUCGGGAGAGCGCUCGCAUGGCAUGCGAGAGGUUCGCCGGUUCGAUCCCGGCCGUCUCCA